rnacentral:lncRNA from 1 species
GAACUUUCCGGACAACCCAAUAAAAGGAGAAAUAUUUAAGUCAGAAAUGGUUGAACAUAUAUUCUUUCUGUUAUCUUUUACUUGUUUUAGUCAUUGGAAUGCGUUUUUGGUUAUAUUCCCAGAAAUUUUUCAUCGCUGGUUUGACUCUCUCAAACUAUAAUAAUAUAGAUUCAAGGACAUGAAUUCAAAACAAAUUGAAACACGAAGCACUAUAUCUUGUCUAUAUGAAUUUUUUUCCUUUGUGUCUUGAAUCAUCCAAAUAAUUAGGUGUCUGGAGAUUUUUGAAUUGUUCUUGGUGAGACUAAAGAAAGUUGUGAAGAAUGAGAAUAAUGUUAGCACAAUUGGCCGGAAAUUUCUGACAAGAAUCAUUUGGAUAUAUUAACGCACGAAACAACCGAGUAAGUCGAAACUAACCUUUUAGAGUUCUUCUCUUCGAAACCGAAAUAGGAUUUCACUAAUGGGAUUAAAAAGCUUACGACUAGAUGGAAAGGCGUCAUAGAUAAUCAUGGAGACUAUACUGAUGAUUAAAGUUCAUUAAAAUAUCGCCAAGAAGUGGUGAAGAAAACUGAGGCUCUAUCAAAAGAAAGGGAAAAGAUCCAACAGGCAUAUUUGCAUAACCAGUUCUAAUAGAUCCCAUCUCGAAGAGUGGAAUUAGUCGAUGAAGUGUUAAUCGGAAUAUAAGGAAAUUAAUUUUCAUAACA